UGCGUUUUGGUUUGCAGAGAAAUUGUGUCACCGAGAUGCUUCUCUGAUUCGCCGGAGAAGAGAACGCCGGCAAUUCUGAAUUGCUCCAGCUCGCUGCGUCACCUUAUUCCUCCAUCCUUCAAAUAAGGAUAAGGUAAUCUCGAAAGCUUUCAAUUGUUGGUGUUUGGUGUCGUGAAAGAUCGAAUGAAUUCGGAGGUUACAGCUCGAGAUGUUGAUGAUGUGAUUGGGCAUUUUGACAUCAGAUUAUGGAAAUGCAUAUUUCGUUUUUGACUUAAUCAAGUCUUUAGAUUCUGAAAACUACUUGCUAUUCAAGUCCAUCUGUUUUUAAAAGAUUAUAAUAACUAUCAAGUACUUGAAUAUGCAGAGGUUCACCAUAGCUAAGCUCAUUAUUAAGCUUCCCAUUGAGAAACCAAACUCAGACCAUCAAUUAGUUUUCUUCUUUCUUAUUUUUUCAUUUUGGAUGGAAGAAGUACUUUGAGUCUUUGAGUUCAGCUAUCCGAUCUCCAUUUCAAAGAAAAAUUGGGAACAAGAACUUUAGGAGUGUGAUGCGAAACAAUCUCUGUGUAUGUAUUUGGUUGCAAAGAUAAUGAUGUUGCUGAUUUUGAGACCUGGCCAGAGUUUCAUCAUAAUGCUGUUGCUGGACUGGCUCCGCUUCAGGACCAUGAGAGCACCACGGUAGGUUUGAUGCUUGGUCUGGCAGCUUCGUACUGGAGAACCUGACUAUUGCAAAGCGAGUCAACCAGAAAACCCUUUCGAUACCAAGCUUCAUAUGCUGAGUUUGAGAUACUAACACUUCUACAGGUACAGAUUGCUGUGGUGUUUCACUUAUUGAAAGUAUAUUUUAGUUCUCCACAAGCAAUUACUGAAACUAGAAGUUGUUUGAUUUGCUGUGGAAUUUACUUACAUACGCUAAAAGUAAGGAAUUGAGAAGAGUCAUUUGCAUAAUGUUAAGACUAUUUGUACUAGUAACCACUGCAAAAGGGGAUAUACAACAAACUUUUUUUUUUUCAUUUGGAUACAGAAGGUUGGUGAAUAUGUAUACAUUACAUUAUACGUGUGGGGUGUGCUGAUCGACUACAUGUAUAUGCACAGAAGGGUAAAUCCCUUGUGUUAGAUUUCUUACAUUUGUGGAAGAAAGAAAAAUUGUCAGUGUCUUGUUGUUUUUAUAUUGUCUUCUUGCAUAUGUUCUUGAGUCUCUCCAGAGCUUUAAGUUUAUAUAUGUCGGAGCAAUUUAUGCUUCUGGAGUUGGGUUAACAUCUGCAGCUGAAGGCUGUCGAGUCCCGUAGUUCCACAGGUCUCUGAGUUCUCUCCUCACCAACCCGAGUAUGACCGUGAUUCCUGCCCAAGUGUUCCGCACAACAUUAUAUUUAUUAAAAUGACUAGAGAGAAUACCGAGGGUGCAAGGGACGAGGUAGAGCAAUGCAGGUUGACCAUGUCCGUUCAUAACAUACAAUCCCAAGUAUGUCAAGAAUAGUCCAAGUCCGUAGCCGAAUAUCAACCACGGGAAAUAUCCUUUCAAGGUUCCUUUGUUAUUUUCCUUGUCAUAUCUG